AUCCAAGUUUUUAGGCAGAGUUAGAGGUUCUCAUAGGUGAUUGUCGUAUCUGUUCUGUGGCAGGAAAGUUAGGGGUAAAAAUUAGAGACUAUUUAAGAGGUUCACACCAGUACCUCAGCCUGUCACCCCGGAGCAGUUUUUCAGUGGUUCCAGUAAUGAAGACUAGAGAAAGCAGACCGAGCAAGAGAUCCUGCAAGGUGGAGUGGAAGGAGCAGAGAUGCCAGCGCAAGAACUUCUUUCCCUUCAGAGCAUCCUGCAGUGGCUGGAGAAGGCAGCUGACGAGAGCAGCUAGUGAGGAGGCCAGCUCCCCUCCCUCAGAAAAAGCAGCGAGCCCGGUUGCUAGGCAGCGUGGCAAGAGGCGUGCACCCCUUGUUAGCACUGCCCCUGAUAAGAAGUCAGCAAAGGCUCUUAAAGCGGCAGCAGCAGUGAAGAAAGCCAUGCCUGCCAAGAGCCUUCAGAAAAGAUGCCUGCCUAUCAAUAUCCCUGGACUUCCUCAUCACCCCAAACUUUCAGCAGCAACGAGAUCCUGACAAGACAGCCAGCAACUUGUGAGACUGCUACUGUAAGUGGGUCUCAUGAGAACAGAGCCUGUAGCAUUCCUCCUCUUCCCCUCCCAUCUGUGCUUUCUCAACAGACACUCACAGAAAGGCCUGGCUAAGUACAAGUGGGUUGGACCAGCACAUCACUCAGGAGUUAGAACGUCUCCAGAGAAAUAAAAGGAUGGAAGUAAGAGAAUAACGCCAAAUCGAAGGAAAUAACAACACUUGGCUAAGAAGUUUCAGUGAUCAUGGUUCUGUUUUUCAGAAGGAUAACUCCAGGAUAUAUCCGACUAUUGCAGAUCCAAGCUUCUGGCAAGUUACCCAUCAGUGAAAACAGCAGAAUAAUGGACCGUUCAGCCAUUUUACUAGGAAUGAGUGGGAUCUGGAUUUCCAGCUACAGCAUAUGCCAUAUGAUUAAAUGGAACUAAUCAGUUGGAUAUAAGAUAUAGAUGGCAAAAGCCAACUUCACUGUAAAAAAAAAGAUCACAAUGAUUAACAUUGUAUUUGUCAUGUCAUUUGCUUACUUAGUAGAGGAAAAGCAGUAGCAUGUUUAAAUAUAUAUUAUUAUUAGCUUAUCAUGACAUUUUCCAAAUAACAUGCAUUUUCAGCAACAUAUAGCAUGAUUGUAUGUGAUAUACAGUAUGUCAUCAAUUCCAAAAUGGUAUUUAAGCUGGUUGAACUAUGUUUAAUUAUAUUUAUAAUAUUAAUGUGGUUGUUAAAUCAAAUAUCAAAUUAAAAUAAACUGAAUUCAAAGCAA